AGUGAACGCUGGCGGUAGGCCUAACACAUGCAAGUCGAACGGCAGCACAGUAAGAGCUUGCUCUUACGGGUGGCGAGUGGCGGACGGGUGAGGAAUACAUCGGAAUCUACUUUUUCGUGGGGGAUAACGUAGGGAAACUUACGCUAAUACAGCAUACGACCUACGGGUGAAAGCAGGGGAUCUUCGGACCUUGCGCGAUUGAAUGAGCCGAUGUCGGAUUAGCUAGUUGGGGGGGUAAAGGCCCACCAAGGCGACGAUACGUAGCUGGUCUGAGAGGAUGAUCGGCCACACUGGAACUGAGACACGGUCCAGACUCCUACGGGAGGCAGCAGUGGGGAAUAUUGGACAAUGGGCGCAAGCCUGAUCCAGCCAUACCGCGUGGGUGAAGAAGGCCUUCGGGUUGUAAAGCCCUUUUUUUGGGAAAGAAAAGCAGCAGGUUAAUACCCCGCUGUUCUGACGGUACCCAAAGAAUAAGCACCGGCUAACUUCGUG
rnacentral:rRNA from 1 species